UCUAGGGAAUGUAUAAGCUUCCUGGAGACUCUGGGGGUCCAAGCUAGACUCUCUGAGUCCCCUAUAUAUAAGCCCCUGUCACGUGAGACCACUCUGGGAACACUGGCUGGGGUUCUCUCUGACUCAGACCAGGAGGUUCUACCUACCCGGCACCUUGGGACAAGAGAGAGGGGUCCCCGAGGCUUUCUAUGUAACAAGAGGCACAGAGGGCACUUCAGUGUCACCCUUGAGGCGGGCAGCAAAGAGACCAGACUUGAAUCUACAAGGGUCUUCAGUGUCCAGCCUGGCAAAGCAGGAAGAGAGAAGACCCCACAGGGACAAACAGGCAGGGAUGGGGAGAGGACGGCCUCCUGCCUGUCAAAUACAGCCCCGGCUCACAGCACUCUGCAGGAUAAGGCUCAAAGCACUGUGACCCUGGACUCCCAGGCUGCUUGCUGGAAGCUGCUGUCCAAAAGUUUCAGAGUCUGGAGGUACUUGUCACAGAGACUCCAGGCAGUGGCUAAGGCCACAGCUAUGAGACAUAGGCAGCUGAUUGGAGAGAGCCCCAGAGAACUGCGUUGGGCCCCAUGGCUCCAGGAGACCCGGCUGGAGGCAGCUUGGGGUCAGCAUGCGAAGGCUCUUCUAGCCUGGAGCUUCCGAGAGUGGAGAUGUGUCACUUUGCAGCAGAAACUGGAGCAAGCUCAUACCCAGGCUGCGCCAACAUUCCUUGCUCCUAGGGGGAGCCUUUCCUUGGAAAGAAAAGCAGCCACAGAUCUUGCCUGGAGAUGCAGGGACAAGU
rnacentral:lncRNA from 1 species